CCUACGGGAGGCAGCAGUGGGGAAUAUUGGACAAUGGGCGAAAGCCUGAUCCAGCCAUGCCGCGUGUGUGAAGAAGGCCUUCGGGUUGUAAAGCACUUUCAGUGGGGAAGAAAGCCUUGGGGCUAAUACCCUCGAGGAAGGACAUCACCCACAGAAGAAGCACCGGCUAACUCCGUGCCAGCAGCCGCGGUAAUACGGAGGGUGCGAGCGUUAAUCGGAAUUACUGGGCGUAAAGCGCGCGUAGGCGGUCUGAUAAGCCGGUUGUGAAAGCCCCGGGCUCAACCUGGGAACGGCAUCCGGAACUGUCAGGCUAGAGUGCAGGAGAGGAAGGUAGAAUUCCCGGUGUAGCGGUGAAAUGCGUAGAGAUCGGGAGGAAUACCAGUGGCGAAGGCGGCCUCCUGGACUGACACUGACGCUGAGGUGCGAAAGCGUGGGUAGCAAACAGGAUUAGAUACCCUGGUAGUC
rnacentral:rRNA from 1 species